rnacentral:rRNA from 1 species
AUGUAUGUUCCAAAAGAACAAGGAGGAAUGGGUUUCCGUGAUAUACACUGCUUUAACCUGGCGUUAUUAGCGAAGCAAGCAUGGCGUCUUGUGGAUAAUCCUGAAUCAUUAUGUGCAACAAUCCUAAGAGCCAAGUAUUUCCCCGAAGGUGAUUUGAUGAACGCGGUAUUAAAGAAGGGCUCUUCCUUUACUUGGCAAAUCAUUAUGGCGGGAGUGGACUCUCUCAAAAAAUGCCUAAUAUGGAGAGUGGGAACAGGAGAAAAUAUUGACAUAUGGAGAGAUGCAUGGAUCCAAAAUUGUGCAGACAAGAAAAUUAUUACACCCAGAAGGGGGAAUCUUUUGACGAAAGUUUCUGAUCUUAUUAACCCAGUCACUAAUGGCUGGGAUGAAGAUUUGGUGAGACAAACUCUAUGGCCAAUUGAUGCCCGUAGAGUCCCAGCUAUCCCGAUCCCCAUGCAUAAUAUGUCGGACUUUAUUGCUUGGAGCUAUACAACAAACAGUUUAUUCACUGUACGAUCA